CUAGCAUUAUNNNUAUUAGAGGCACUGCCUGCCCAGUGACAUUAGUUUAACGGCCGCGGUAUCCUGACCGUGCAAAGGUAGCAUAAUCAUUUGUUCCUUAAUUAGGGACUUGUAUGAAUGGCCACACGAGGGUUUAACUGUCUCUUACUUUUAAUCAGUGAAAUUGACCUUCCCGUGAAGAGGCGGGAAUAGAAAAAUAAGACGAGAAGACCCUAUGGAGCUUAAAUUUAAGUGUUCAACAAAAUUUAAACUCAAUCCAACAGGAAUAAUAUUAUUUUAACUGAACAACAAAUUUUGGUUGGGGUGACCUCGGAGUAUAAUAAAACCUCCGAGCAAUUUUAACUAAGACUCACCUGUCAAAGUGAUAAAAUUUAUUGAUCCAAUCAAAUUGAUCAACGAAACAAGUUACCCUAGGGAUAACAGCGCAAUCCUAUUUGAGAGUUCAUAUCGACAAUAGGGUUUACGACCUCGAUGUUGGAUCAGGACACCCAAAUGGUGCAGCAGCUAUUAAAGGUUCGUUUGUUCAACG
rnacentral:rRNA from 1 species